rnacentral:rRNA from 1 species
AGUCGAACGGCAGCGCGCUCCGUACCUUAAUUUCUCUUUGCAUUUAAUUGGAGCAAGGAGCCAUUGAGGUGCGGAGUGGCGGCGAGUGGCGGACGGGUGAGUAAUGCGUAGGAAUCUACCUUGUAGUGGGGAACAACCUGGGGAAACUCAGGUUAAUACCGCAUGAGCAGAGAGGCAUUUGCCUUUUUGGAAAGCGGGGGAUCUUCGGACCUCGUGCUAUAAGAUGAGCCUAUGUCGGAUUAGCUAGUUGGUAGGGUAAAGGCCUACCAAGGCAACGAUCCGUAGCUGGUCUGAGAGGACGACCAGCCACACUGGGACUGAGACACGGCCCAGACUCCUACGGGAGGCAGCAGUGGGGAAUCUUGGACAAUGGGGGAAACCCUGAUCCAGCAAUGCCGCGUGUGUGAAGAAGGCCUUCGGGUUGUAAAGCACUUUCAGUGGGGAAGAAAUUCUUAAGGCUAAUAACCUUAAGCGUUGACGUUACCUACAGAAGAAGCACUGGCUAACUCUGUGCCAGCAGCCGCGGUAAUACAGAGAGUGCAAGCGUUAAUCGGAAUUACUGGGCGUAAAGCGCGCGUAGGUGGAUAUUUAAGUUGGAUGUGAAAGCCCUGGGCUUAACCUAGGAAUGGCACCCAAUACUGGAUAUCUCGAGUAUGGUAGAGGGAAGUGGAAUUUCCGGUGUAGCGGUGAAAUGCGUAGAUAUCGGAAAGAACACCAGUGGCGAAGGCGGCUUCCUGGACCAAUACUGACACUGAGGCGCGAAAGCGUGGGGAGCAAACAGGAUUAGAGACCCUGGUAGUCCA